CCCUUAGAUGUUCUGGGCCGCACGCGCGCUACACUGAUGAAUUCAACGAGUUUAUAACCUUGACCGAGAGGUCUGGGUAAUCUUUUAAAUGUUCAUCGUGAUGGGGCUAGAUUAUUGCAAUUAUUAAUCUUCAACGAGGAAUUCCUAGUAAACGCAAGUCAUCAGCUUGCAUUGAUUACGUCCCUGCCCUUUGUACACACCGCCCGUCGCACCUACCGAUUGAAUGGUCCGGUGAAAACUUUGGAUCGUGACUUUGUUUUGCUUUCGGGCAAGACGCUGUUGUGAGAAGUUGUUUAAACCUUACCAUUUAGAGGAAGGUGAAGUCGUAACA
rnacentral:rRNA from 1 species